CUCCUCUUCUGGUUUCCCGCAGCCACGAUUCGCUAUUGCCCCCUUCCGCACAAACCCACGAAACCCUAGCCCACCGUUCGGCUGCCGGCGCGGCGCCUGUUCACCCGCGCCUCCGGCUGCACCUCCUCGCCGAUCUCCACUUUGACUCCCCGGAUCAACCGCGCUGCCUCGAUCGCAUCUUGGACCCCUCGCCUUGGUCCUUCUCAGCACCAUCAACCGCGAGCUGCUCAUGCGGUCGGCGUCGGUCGCUCUGCACCGCCACUCCGACGUGCUCGUCGACGUGCUGCCUCCCGUGGUGGAAUCCAGCAUCUCGCUGGUCGCUUCGUCGGUGUAACUCUUAACGAUUUGUACUCGAGCAUCUAGACCUGGGAUGUUUAUUGUGGUGCUAUGUUGCUGAUGUUGUCAUGUCUUCUACCUUGACGCUAGGGGGAUGGUUUUGCGGACGCAACCCAGUGUCAACUACAGCACUGUAAGCUAAACCUCCUCCCUUCUCUGUCUGCGGUGACGGAGUCGUGUGUUACAAAGAGGAAAUUAUGUACUGGCAGUUUGACUUGAUUAUUUGAGUUAACAGCUCUGUGUAGAGUUGUCACCGGAUAGAAAAUUUUCACAAGAGGCUUUUGCACCGUACUCAAAUGUCAGCCACUAAGCCAUGAUUGGAAUCCUACUCUAUCUUACUUUUAUUAACCAAUGUCCAGAUGUAGAAAGGUGGGUACUAAUGUACUGUACAUUUAUCAUGUCAUAUUUCCUUCUCUACAUUUUCAUUGAGUUAAUACUUUACCUCUAGAGUUUAGAAGCUAUGAUGAUUUGGACUUUGUAAUCAGUACAUGUCAUGUACCUUCUACAUAAUGGGUUAAUUACUACUGGGAGGAUGGCCAGGAUGUCAUGGCUGUAGGGCAUUGAGAUGCUGAAUUGGGAAGGGACUAGAUGAGCAGAUGGACUAAAUAUUCUCCGUCUGCUAGUUGUGUCAAGAGAUAAUUGUUUCCUUCGCUGUAGCUAUAUUGUGUAUUUGAUCACUGUCUGUAUUGUGUAUUUGAUCAUUGUCUGCUAGUCACAUAGCAUGUCCACUGUGUGCAUACUAAUUUUAUUGGCCUAUAGGCUAUAGGUUUCGAGUUUUAUAACUUACCAAGAGAGUGCAUUACUACAUACAUUUUGUUAGUCGACUGUUCACUUUUUUGUGCACCAAUUUUUACUGUAUAUGAUCUGGAUGGACAUUUGGAUGCUCUUAAUUUCUGAAGAAUCAUGCACAUCAGGCUAUGCACAUUUCAGGACUAUGUGUCCUAAAUCCUAUAUUAAUAUUAAUAUUAAUAUUAAUGAGAGUAGUUACUAACUUUUUGGCUUUCAUCCUUUUGUAUUUUAGGGUGUCGGAUGCUUUCCAUUUUUGUACUUUUUUUUUCUAUCUUCUAUGAUGAUUUCUUCCAAAAUCGAUCACCAUUUGACCCUCAAGUAUAAGUACUCUGAAGCGUUUACUCCAUUUCAGGCCUUGGAUAACUGUAGCUGGAAGAUGAGAUUAUGGAAAACGAAUUUAAACUUGAUCUCCAGGUGUAUAAUCUUGUUUCUGAGAUGUCCUCUCCCCAGGGGUUCUUUAAUGCUGCAGCCGUCCCAAAUUCAAAGGUCAAAAUAACCUAGAACUCAUCCUUUCUGGUGAAGUGCUUGAUUCUAGUUCUGCUCUGCCAAUUGGCAAAGCUAAGGUGAAUCAUUAAUGUUGCCGCUGCUGGUCCGACAGUCGCUUCGCUGGUGGUGCUGCUGCAUCAGUCGUAGCUGCCACUAAGGCUCUCUGCUACUUCUCCUACAGAGUAAGAACCUCCACCCCCGCUGCUAAUACUCAUGAGUCCCAAUAUUUUGCUCCAAAC